ACCUAGGGACCUUUAUGUAAUUAAUCUAAAACUUUUUUUUUCUUUCUUUUCUCGUUGUACCUCAGAAAUGGAUUAAUUACAGAGAGAAAGAACAGAGAAAAAGAAAAAAAAAAAAUUCCCCGGGUAUGGAUAAUUAUCCCUUCUGGGUAGGUUGCUCUGCGGCUGAUAGUAUCAUCUUUUUACUCUGAGGAGGUGUCUCUUUAGUAACCAAUUCCAUGUUAAAUUUCUUAUGAACGAGCGGUGAAAGUGAAGCAGUUGCAGCAUCCAAAAAAAAAAAAGAACAGUAGGAGACUUCUUGUGCUGUAUAUUAUUGGCAUUUUAUAAGAAGAUGAAGCUUUGAAGCAACAAACUUUCUCUUAUUCUCUUAAGCUUGUGCUGGAAUUUCCUGAAUUCUUCCAAAUACUUUCAACCAAAAGAACACUGCAAAACUCAACGACACUUUGUAUUUAAGAAUUGAAGGGAAAUCGAUCAACAAAUCCUGCUCGAGGUCCUAAAACCGCUGAAGAUGUAAGGCGUUACAUGUUGUGUCAUCUUGAGGAUCAAGAAACUAUAAUUAUAUACUAUGCCGGGUAUGAAUGAGCUUUGCCCCUUUUUCUUUUUCCGUCUCCGAAGUGAGUGAAGUCAAGUUUGUAUCUGCAAAGCAAUACAGAAAAAUCUAUGUCUUUUAGAAAGACGAUAGCGACUCCCUCUGCACUCGAACAACCCAGAAAAAGUCAUCUCGCGUCGAACGACCAUGGAAGCAGGCAACUCAUUUAGUAUAGUGCCUAAGACCCUCUACUUGAACUUGCUAAAUUCACGUAUUGUCGCGGAAAAGAAAGUGUAAUUUACCUAAAUAUUAUUAUUUUUAUAUAUAAUAUAUAAAUGUAAAUUAUUAAUGUUUUAUAUAUAAUAUAAUACAAGUAGUUUGACCAUGGAGAAAGGUGUGCAAGAAUAAAGGACACGCACAAUAACAGAACAUUCAGGCACAGACUACUGAAGUAAGUCAAGAAGAAUUGAUGUUCGCAGCCUAAUGCAAAGCACAGUUCGCAGAAUCCUACGAACCCCCUGCGUUUGCAAGAGAUCUUAAUGACUGCUUCAGGACUCCAGUCAUGACAUGCCCCAUGCAUAAGGGGAAAACAAAGGAGGAUGCCCUGUGCCUUGCUAAUAAGAUGAAGAAAAUCACAGUAGCAGAUACGUUAGAGAAUAUGGAAGUGUGUAUCUCGCCAUUUUCAGUUCACAAUGGUGAUAUUUGCAGUAUCUAUAAACUCAAGAUUAGGCUUGUCAAACCUGGUCGGUAUUUCAAGAAGAGUGAUAUAUCAGUAGAAGACUGUGAACACAUUUUUAAGAUUCUGAUUUUGAGGGAGUAGGACGAUGACAUACAGAAACAUAUACUUUUGGUCUUUAGAAUUAGUGGCAUAAAAGAUUUUAUGCCAGAUUCUCAACCGACUGAUUCAAAUGAUAUAGAUGAAAAUGCGAAGGCAGAACUUGUGAGACUGAGCAUGAUGGUGGUGAUGAUACUGGUGAUGAGGAAAGAGGUGAGGAUCUUGGUCUAGAUGUACAAAAACAGAAACAGCAGACUACAUAUGAGAUGGACUAUGAAGAUGACUCAGGAGGGGAACAAUUGGAAAGUGAAAUUGACAUGUCCAAGGAUGAGAAGGUAGUUACUGAAAACAAUAUGAUUAGAUCAGAUGAUAUGUGUGAGAGUUCUCGUAGUAGUCCAAACCUAAAGAAUAUAUCUAUGCCUAUGUCAAGGGAGAAAAACACCAGAUAAUGACAUGGUAAACGAACCUCACGUUUUAUUGGCUCAGAUUGCAGAAAACGCAUUGAGACGAAAUGUCUUCAGCUGCUUGGAUGAGAGUGGACUCAGAUGCACCGAGAACAAGGGCGCGGACUAAACGAUUUUAUGUCCAGAGCUUUGGAAAGAUUGAUUGAUGUCGAGUGACGGACUGCAGUGAGAAUCAGGUGUUUUACCAUGGGGGAGAUCCAAAGAAAAGGAAGACUCAAUCUGACAAGGAAAAAAUACCAGCUCUGCACACUGCUGGAGUGGAUUUAGGUGCGUUUCGGGAGAGGGAAGAUCAACUUGAUGUUAGAUAUUUAUAUUCCAAUGGAAUUCAUGCAAUGCUUAAUGGGUAUGGAGUGGAAGCAGCCAGAGGAACCAUAAUUAGGGAGAUCAGUCACGUUUUCACAUCUUACGGCAUAGCUGUGGCUAUCCGGCACCUAACACUUACUGCUGAUUUUAUGACCCAUGCCUGAAGGUAUCGACCCAUGAGCAGGCUUGGUGCUAUAGCAGAUUCAAUAUCACCAUUCAGCAAGGUGUCUUUUGAGACAGCCUCUAAAUUCAUUGUUGAGGCAGCAAAACAUGGGCAGCUGGACAACUUGGAAACACCAUCGUCUAGAAUCUGCCUUGGAUUGCCAGUGAAAAUGGGCACCGGAUCUUUAGACUUGAUGCACCAACUGGAGAGUUGAGUUGAUGUAUGUAUCUAUAUUAGUAUUCUUGUUGUAGUUAUGGGAAUACUAAUGUUUGUUUAUCACAGUUUAGUGAUACAAAAUUGAAAAUUGACUUAAAACCUAAAUUAAUUUUAAGUCUUUGUAGGUAUUUACAUCAUUUAAUAAUUUAUAUAAUAUAUCUUUUUGAAAAA